rnacentral:rRNA from 1 species
GACGAACGCUGGCGGCGUGCUUAACACAUGCGAGUCGAACGGAAAGGCCCUGCUUUUGUGGGGUGCUCGAGUGGCGAACGGGUGAGUAACACGUGAGUAACCUGCCCUUGACUUUGGGAUAACUUCAGGAAACUGGGGCUAAUACCGGAUAGGAGCUCCUGCUGCAUGGUGGGGGUUGGAAAGUUUCGGCGGUUGGGGAUGGACUCGCGGCUUAUCAGCUUGUUGGUGGGGUAGUGGCUUACCAAGGCUUUGACGGGUAGCCGGCCUGAGAGGGUGACCGGCCAGAUUGGGACUGAGAUGCGGCCCAGACUGCUACGGGGGGCAGCAGUGGGGAAUAUUGCACAAUGGGCGGAAGCCUGAUGCAGCAACGCCGCGUGCGGGAUGACGGCCUUCGGGUUGUAAACCGCUUUCGCCUGUGACGAAGCGUGAGUGACGGUAAUGGGUAAAGAAGCACCGGCUAACUACGUG